GGCUGGGGCUGCAGCUCGCUCGUCGUGUUCUGCUGUUUCCUUGUGUGAAAUGUCAGUAGCAGCGGCCGGGAUGUUCUGAGGAAAUCAGACCACAGAGGAGGUAGCAUUUGUAGUGAGGGUCUGUUCCCCGUGGGACCGUGGUCAGCUUGUGUUGCGGAAGAGAAAAGAAGUGCUGGCGAGGCUGCGGGGGAGAGGAACCUGUUUGUGUUGUUGGUACUGAAACUAGAGCCGCUACGGAAAUCAGUGUGGAGAUCCCCAAACAACCAAAAGUAGAAACCCUGUGUGGCCCGGCUCUCUCCCUCCAAGUGUCUUCCCACCGGAGUUAAAGGCAUCUUAGUCCCUGGCCAGCUCCACCGAAGUUGUGGUCUUCGCCUUGUGCUGCUUUAUUGUCCUCUGCGAUGUCCUCUCCUAUGGUGCUGAGUCUGGGAUGCAGAUAUUCCGGGAAAAAGCCAAAACUGUGACGGCGUGUUUGUUCAUCAUGCUUUCUCCUCUAGAUGGCAUAUUAAUCUACAAAAAGGAAUAUGAUGAACUUUAAAAAGAGAAUAAUCCUACCAACAUUUUUGAAGAACUGCCCUGUCCUCCGAGAUGAAGCCUUUGAUAAAAUCUUUCUGUAGUAAUUGGAAAGAUAUGUGAAUAAAUAAGGAGGCAGAAGGAUAAAGGGAGGCUGGAGCUGAUCACCGCGUUACAUCAUGUGUUGAAAUACCACACUGAACUCCAUUAAUAUAUAUAAUGAAUACAUGUUAAUAAAAAUAAAAUCGUUUAAAUAUCCAUAUAUAUUCAGAUGGAGCAAGAAAAACAAUAUGAAAUUGCUGUUGUGACUAUAAAAGUAUUCAUAUUCUUUAAAAUAGGAAAUUUUUGUUAUGCAUAUUAAAAGUUAUAUCUAAA